ensembl:lncRNA
AAAAAAUUAAGUCAACAAAUAAUCCGUCCUCACAAUAACUAUCUUUCACAUGGACACUGAAAAGAUCCACAAAUGGCUGUAUGUGGUAUGGAUCAAGGACAGGAGAGGUGUUCAUACAGAGGUGCUUAAAGAAAGGUGCACAGAGUUCAACAAAGCCAACAACUGCUUCAUGUGUGCCACUGAUAGAGAACCUGAAUGUGGCCCAAAGACUGACUGGAUUGAAUGUUUUGCAUGACAACGGUGGUUCCACGUGCUGUAACUAGGAAUGAAGAGAAACGAGUUCAACAGAGCGAAGAACACAAACUGGAAGUGCUGUCUUUGUUGUUGAAAAUGUAUGCUUUUCCCCAUCCACACUGAAGAGGCUCUGACAUGUACAUCAACCAGGGAUAAAGAGGAAGUUAACACUGUGAAAUGUUUCAUACUUAACUGAAGUUAAGUGUCUGUUGACAUGUUGGAAAAGACUAAAGGUCUACAAUUUGUUGAAUUUGUCAAUAUUACAUUUUUAUUCAUUGAUUUACUGGCCACCAUUACUGUGGUUACAUGUUCAGUAUAUGUAUUGACCAGCAAACCCACUGCAGCCUACCUUACUAACUCCCUCUCCAUCCCUGUACAGUGUAUGUAUUGACCAGCAAACCCACUGCAGUCUACCUUACUAACUAAC